rnacentral:tRNA from 1 species
GGUGGCUCAGUGGUAGAGCACUUGCCUAGAAUGUAUGAGGCACUGGGUUCGAUUCUCAGCACCA